ACUAUUUGAGUUGUAGACCACAUAUCCAAGGCUUACAUGCUCUGCCGGAGCAGCUCCACGUCUUCGGCUGCUCUGAAUGAUGUUCCUUUGAGUAACAUCCCAGCUUUGUUUAAGAAGUAAUACAGUUAUUACAUACAGCUUCUGGGGGUCAUGAAGAAUGAAGCAAAGUGAAUUCUCUUUAAUCACCACAGUUAAGAGAAGAAGAGAACCACUGCAGCUUUCACGGCACAUAUAUUGUUUUCUUGUUUUAUGACAGAAGAGCAAGAGCAUUUAUGACCGAAAAGUGGACAUAUUUGCUUUGGGGCUGAUAUACUUUGAACUCCUUUGGAAACUCUCUAGUGGCCAUGAAAGAGCAAAGAUUUGGUAUGAUGUCAGGAGUCAGAAAUUCCCCAGUGAGUUUUCACGGACUUUUCUCCAAGAGAGCCAAAUGAUUCAGUCGAUGCUGUGUGAGAAGCCAGAGGACCGACCUGAAGCAAGUGCACUAAAGGCAGAGAUGGAACUUUGGGCUCAGAAACAAAAAAUGCGUAAAAUAAGCAGUGUCUGAGUAUCACAAGAGCGUGUGAAGAGUCACAGGAGUGUGUGGCAAAGGAUGGCAGUUUGUAGUUUUUGUCCUCCAUGAUUUUGUCCUCCACCAAAGCUAAUUAAGGUUCUGUCCCUUUUCCCCUGUUGGAUCUUAGUUUUUUGCACCUCUUCUUUGUUUAUUUCUUAGUAGUCUUUCUACUCGGUUAUAUGGUACACAACUUCUGAAAUCCUUUACUUCUCAAACUCAAAUAGCUACUUUACUGUAUGUGAACUUUGGCUCCAAAUAUAAAGUCUGUGUAACUCAGCUUCUAAUGUUAAGUUUCUCAUUGACGUCAUCAGUUUAGCCCCUUUGAUGUGCGUUCCCGUCCCGUUCUAUACGUACUACGUAAGACGCAGUGGUUGCUAUUGGAUACCAAAAAGGGAAUUAACACAUGCUAACUUUGACCUCGAACACUUGCUAUAACAAUAUGUAGCCUAUAUAUAUAAUAGGUGUUAUGCCCAAUCAUCUUAAUUAGAUGCCAAUGGUAAUUGUUAAACUCUGUUUUACUAAGAGUUUUGUUGUACCCGGUACUUUUCAUUUAGCUUCAGUAAUAAAGUUCAGUAGGGCUAGAGGCGUGGCUUUGCGCAUUAGGUUUAUGGACAGUAGGGACAUGUCCCUACCAGUAUUUUGGGAGGACAGAAAUGUCCCUACCAAAAUUUGAACAAACAUGUGCUCAAAAUAAUGUGCCUGACUGACUGACUGAAAGGGAGCACAUUUCAUACAAAUGUCAUAGUGUGCUGAUAAGGGUGCGUUAAACGUUAAAGUUCGAAGCUUAAAACAAUCUAAUAUGUUGUAAUAAAAAAAAGCCACAAAACAAAUCAGUUCUCCAGUUACUUUGAAAUACAAUGGCUAGCUGGUGGUUCCCUGCACAGACAUCUUUCUCCACACUCCACGCUGCCUCAGAUUCACUUGUCUGCUAAAUGUCUAUAAAACAAACAUUUGGACUGUGUGACAAGAGCAUCAGAUAUGUUAUAAGCUAUUCAUUAAAUGCAGAAUGAAUAGUCCAAUGUUAAUGUAACACAUAUAAACAACACAGCCGCUUAACAAUACACCAUUUACUGGCCUCACUCUCGCAUCGGACCUCCUUCCGGUUUUCGGAGUGCCGAUAGUGUCUUCAGUAUAGGCUGCGGCUGCCCUCUAUUGGACCAAAUAAAUAUCGCCCCGAGUCUGAAUCACCAGCAGGUAAGUUUUAGAACAAAUAACCAAAAAUAAUAAAAUCCCAAAGGAGAGGGGUACUAUGAACAAAACAAGGGGUCCUGGGCACCACAUUCUUGCACCACAAAUAUCAUGGGGGCCACACCCUCCCCUACUUACAAAAAUAAACAUACUCUAUGUAUUUUUCCUCUCAUUUGUUUUAGGCUACAUGCAUUUAUAAUGGCUAUACUUGAACAUAAGCUGACCCGUACCUGGGAUAUAUAUCCAAAACACUUUCCAGUGGACAGGGGUGGAGUGUCUUGUACGAAUGUGAUGGCGCUCUGACUGGUUACAGUGGUCUCAUGU